GCGGGCGUAGUUUACCGGUAAAACGAAUCCCUUCCAAGGAUUAGUAGGCGGUUCGAUUCCGCUCGCCCGCU
rnacentral:tRNA from 2 species